rnacentral:rRNA from 1 species
ACCUCUAGCAUUACCAGUAUUAGAGGCACCGCCUGCCCAGUGACAUGCGUUCAACGGCCGCGGUACCCUAACCGUGCAAAGGUAGCAUAAUCACUUGUUCCUUAAAUAGGGACUCGUAUGAAUGGCUCCACGAGGGUUCAGCUGUCUCUUACUUUUGACCAGUGAAAUUGACCUGCCCGUGAAGAGGCGGACAUAACAUAACAAGACGAGAAGACCCUAUGGAGCUUUAAUUCAUUAAUGCAAGCAACACUUAAUAAACCCACAGGUCCUAAACUAUUAAACCUGCAUUAAAAAUUUCGGUUGGGGCGACCUCGGAGUAUAAUCUAACCUCCGAACAACACAUGCCAAGACUUCACCAGUCAAAGCGAGCUACCACAUUUAAUUGAUCCAAUGACUUGACCAACGGAACAAGUUACCCUAGGGAUAACAGCGCAAUCCUAUUCUAGAGUCCAUAUCAACAGUAGGGUUUACGACCUCGAUGUUGGAUCAGGACAUCCCGAUGGUGCAGCCGCUAUCAAA